CUGGCCGUAAACGAUGAAUGCUAGGUGUGGGUGUAGCGAUACAUCUGUGCCGUAGUUAACGCGUUAAGCAUUCCGCCUGGGGAGUACGAUCGCAAGAUUGAAACUCAAAGGAAUUGACGGGGGCCCGCACAAGCGGUGGAGCACGUGGUUUAAUUCGAUGCAAACCGAAGAACCUUACCUGGGUUUGACAUGUACGUGUUACUGAGAUGAAAGUCGAGGGACUCCUCUUUCGGGAGGAGAGCGUACACAGGUGC
rnacentral:rRNA from 1 species